rnacentral:rRNA from 1 species
AGCGAACGCUGGCGGCAGGCCUAACACAUGCAAGUCGAACGAACUCUUCGGAGUUAGUGGCGGACGGGUGAGUAACACGUGGGAACGUGCCUUUUUGUUCGGAAUAACUCAGGGAAACUUGUGCUAAUACCGAAUGUGCCCUUCGGGGGAAAGAUUUAUCGCCAUUAGAGCGGCCCGCGUCUGAUUAGCUAGUUGGUGAGGUAACGGCUCACCAAGGCGACGAUCAGUAGCUGGUCUGAGAGGAUGACCAGCCACACUGGGACUGAGACACGGCCCAGACUCCUACGGGAGGCAGCAGUGGGGAAUCUUGCGCAAUGGGCGAAAGCCUGACGCAGCCAUGCCGCGUGAAUGAUGAAGGUCUUAGGAUUGUAAAAUUCUUUCACCGGGGACGAUAAUGACGGUACCCGGAGAAGAAGCCCCGGCUAACUUCGUG